rnacentral:ncRNA from 2 species
UGAAGGCCAUGGGGGCGCCCCUAAGAGGGGCUGAGAAGGUACCCCUUGAACCUGAUCCAGGUAAUACUGGCGGAGGGAAUGGCAAGAAAAGGGAA